rnacentral:rRNA from 1 species
CGGGAAAAGCUCAAAUUUAAAAUCUGGCAGCCUUUGGCUGUCCGAGUUGUAAUCUCGAGAAGCGUCAUCCGUGCUGGACCAUGUACAAGUCUCCUGGAAUGGAGCAUCAUAGAGGGUGAGAAUCCCGUCUUUGACAUGGACUACCAGGGCUUUGUGAUGUGCUCUCAAA